rnacentral:rRNA from 1 species
GGCGGCGGCGGCGACAUGGCCGACGAGGAGGCGUGCAUGUUCGCGCUGCAGCUGGCAAACUCGGCGGUCCUGCCUAUGGCGCUCAGGACUGCCAUCGAGCUGGGCCUUCUCGAGACCCUCGUGGGCGCCUGCGGGAAGGCGCUGACCCCGGAGGAGGUGGCCGCGAAGCUGCCGUCCGCCAACCCGGACGCGGCGUCCAUGGUGGAUCGCAUCCUGCGCCUGCUGGCCUCGUACAAUGUCGUGUCGUGCGUGGUGGAGGAGGGCGAGGACGGCAGCCUCUCCCGUCGGUACGGCGCCGCGCCGGUGUGCAAGUGGCUUACCAUCAACGAGGACGGCGCCUCUCUGGCCCCGUUCGCCCUCCUUGCAACGGACAAGAUGCUCAUGGAGUCAUGGUGCUACAUGAAGGACGCAGUCCUUGACGGAGGCAACCCGUUCGUCAAGGCCUUCGGGAUGACGGCGCGUGAGUGCAACGGCAAGGACAUGCGCCUGAACCGCGUCUUCAACGAGGCCAUGACGCACCAUUCCGGCAUCAUCACCGGCAAGUUCCUCGAGCUGUACACAGGUUUUGAUGGCAUCGGCACCCUCGUCGACGUCGGCGGCAGCGUCGGCACCCUCAUGCACGCCAUCGUCUCCAAGUACCCGAGCAUCAGGGGGAUCAACUUCGACCUCCCCUUCGUCAUCGCGCACGCGCCGGACUACCCCGGCGUGCAGCACGUGGCCGGCGACAUGUUCGAGAGCGUGCCCUCCGGCGACGCCAUCGUCAUCAAGUGGGUCCUCAACGGCCUGAGUGACCAGCAGUGCGCGACGCUGCUCAAGAACUGCUACGACGCCCUGCCGGCGCACGGCAAGGUGGUCAACCUGCAGUGCAUCCUGCCGGUGCACCCGGACGCGACGCACAGCGCGCAGGAGGUCAUCAGCGUCGACGUUAGCAUGCUCGCCUACAGCGUCGGCGGCAAGGAGAGAUACCUGAGGGACUUCGAGAAGCUUGCCAAGGGCGCCGGGUUUGCCGGCGUCGAGGCCACCUACAUCUACGCUAACUUCUGGGCCAUCGAGUACACCAAGUAG